UACGUAGGGUGCGAGCGUUAAUCGGAAUUACUGGGCGUAAAGCGUGCGCAGGCGGUCUGUUAAGACCGAUGUGAAAUCCCCGGGCUUAACCUGGGAACUGCAUUGGUGACUGGCAGGCUUUGAGUGUGGCAGAGGGAGGUAGAAUUCCACGUGUAGCAGUGAAAUGCGUAGAUAUGCGGAGGAACACCGAUGGCGAAGGCGGCUCACUGGCCCGAUACUGACGCUGAGGCACGAAAGCGUGGGGAGCAAACAGG
rnacentral:rRNA from 1 species